rnacentral:rRNA from 1 species
CCAAGUUCUUUGGAACAGGACGUCACAGAGGGUGAGAAUCCCNNANGNGGGCGCUAGGCCCUCCCCNGGGGAAAGGCCCCUUCGACGAGUCGGGUUGUUUGGGAAUGCAGCUCUAAAUGGGAGGUAAAUUUCUUCUAAAGCUAAAUACUGGCCAGAGACCGAUAGCGCACAAGUAGAGUGAUCGAAAGAUGAAAAGCACUUUGGAAAGAGAGUCAAAUAGCACGUGAAAUUGUUGAAAGGGAAGCGCUUGCAGCCAGACUUGCCUGUAGUUGCUUAUCCGGACUUUUGUCCGGUGCACUCUUCU